rnacentral:rRNA from 3 species
UGAAGAGUUUGAUCAUGGCUCAGAUUGAACGCUGGCGGCAGGCCUAACACAUGCAAGUCGAACGGUAACAGGAAGCAGCUUGCUGCUUCGCUGACGAGUGGCGGACGGGUGAGUAAUGUCUGGGAAACUGCCUGAUGGAGGGGGAUAACUACUGGAAACGGUGGCUAAUACCGCAUAACGUCGCAAGACCAAAGAGGGGGACCUUCGGGCCUCUUGCCAUCAGAUGUGCCCAGAUGGGAUUAGCUUGUUGGUGAGGUAACGGCUCACCAAGGCGACGAUCCCUAGCUGGUCUGAGAGGAUGACCAGCCACACUGGAACUGAGACACGGUCCAGACUCCUACGGGAGGCAGCAGUGGGGAAUAUUGCACAAUGGGCGCAAGCCUGAUGCAGCCAUGCCGCGUGUAUGAAGAAGGCCUUCGGGUUGUAAAGUACUUUCAGCGGGGAGGAAGGUGUUGUGGUUAAUAACCGCAGCAAUUGACGUUACCCGCAGAAGAAGCACCGGCUAACUCCGUGCCAGCAGCCGCGGUAAUACGGAGGGUGCAAGCGUUAAUCGGAAUUACUGGGCGUAAAGCGCACGCAGGCGGUCUGUCAAGUCGGAUGUGAAAUCCCCGGGCUCAACCUGGGAACUGCAUUCGAAACUGGCAGGCUUGAGUCUUGUAGAGGGGGGUAGAAUUCCAGGUGUAGCGGUGAAAUGCGUAGAGAUCUGGAGGAAUACCGGUGGCGAAGGCGGCCCCCUGGACAAAGACUGACGCUCAGGUGCGAAAGCGUGGGGAGCAAACAGGAUUAGAUACCCUGGUAGUCCACGCCGUAAACGAUGUCUACUUGGAGGUUGUGCCCUUGAGGCGUGGCUUCCGGAGCUAACGCGUUAAGUAGACCGCCUGGGGAGUACGGCCGCAAGGUUAAAACUCAAAUGAAUUGACGGGGGCCCGCACAAGCGGUGGAGCAUGUGGUUUAAUUCGAUGCAACGCGAAGAACCUUACCUGGUCUUGACAUCCACAGAAGAAUCCAGAGAUGGAUUUGUGCCUUCGGGAACUGUGAGACAGGUGCUGCAUGGCUGUCGUCAGCUCGUGUUGUGAAAUGUUGGGUUAAGUCCCGCAACGAGCGCAACCCUUAUCCUUUGUUGCCAGCGAUUAGG